rnacentral:lncRNA from 1 species
CACUUCACUCCACUCACCACACAUCUUCUCUCAAAUCACCCUCAAACUACAUCCUUCUCGAACUCACCCUUCAACCAUAUUAUGUGUCUCCCACACCUUCUCGAGGAAGCCCAGAAGUCCCCCUUAUCUUCUCUUAUUUAGUAAACCCUCACUUACACUACAUUACCCAUUUUACUACACUUCCCAUAUCACACAACCCUAAACCUAUUACUCCCUUCCUUCCUAUGCAUAAUGCAUCACAGUCCAAAGCAAAGUCACAUAACACAUACACUUUCCUCCAUCUCUAUCUUAUUUUACCUACUUUUUAUACCCUUACGUGAUCAGUACGUCACUCUCCUCCCUCCUUUCCCUUUUCUUCACCCAAAGGUCAACCCAUACUUCUCAUUCUCUUAGCCAGAUAACCCACAAAGAAUACACUACCC